ACCAUUUUUUUGAAAGUUAAGUUAUUAUUGAGCUUGAGUGAAUCAGAUGACAUAAUAUUGGAAGCACUCAUGGAGAUGACAAAUGAGUUAAUGUGUGACAUUGAUCUUGUGCUUCAAUGUGUGAGUUUGUUUUCUGAAAAAAAAAGAGAAGGCUUGUCUGAAAAAGCAUUAGAUAUUUUGGUUAAACAGUCAUUACGACCAACUGAUAAUAUCAAAGUUCUAACA
rnacentral:lncRNA from 1 species